rnacentral:rRNA from 1 species
UACGUAGGGUGCGAGCGUUAAUCGGAAUUACUGGGCGUAAAGCGUGCGCAGGCGGUUCGUCGUGUCCGAUGUGAAAGCCCCGGGCUCAACCUGGGAAUGGCAUUGGAAACUGGCGGACUCGAGUGUGGCAGAGGGGGGUGGAAUUCCCGGUGUAGCGGUGAAAUGCGCAGAUAUCGGGAGGAACACCAAUGGCGAAAGCAGCUCUCUGGGACGGUACUGACGCUGAGACGCGAAAGCGUGGGGAGCGAACAGG